rnacentral:rRNA from 1 species
UACGGGGGGGGCAAGCGUUGUUCGGAAUUACUGGGCGUAAAGGGCGCGUAGGCGGCCAACUAAGUCGGAUGUGAAAUCCCCAGGCUUAACCUGGGAACUGCAUCCGAUACUGGAUGGCUUGAAUCCGGGAGAGGGAUGCAGAAUUCCAGGUGUAGCGGUGAAAUGCGUAGAUAUCUGGAGGAAUACCGGUGGCGAAGGCGGCAUCCUGGACCGGCAUUGACGCUGAGGAGCGAAAGCUAGGGGAGCAAACGGGG